GGCUUAGGACGAACGCUGGCGGCGUGCCUAAUACAUGCAAGUCGAACGGUCGUUUCUAUGGAAGCUUGCUUCCGCUGAGAAGAUAGUGGCGAACGGGUGAGUAACACGUGGGUAACCUGCCCAUAAGAGGGGGGAUAACAUCCGGAAACGGGUGCUAAUACCGCAUAGUUUUCUUGAUCGCAUGAUCGGGAAAGAAAAGACGGCCUUUGUGCUGUCGCUUAUGGAUGGACCCGCGGCGUAUUAGUUAGUUGGUGAGGUAACGGCUCACCAAGACGAUGAUACGUAGCCGACCUGAGAGGGUGAUCGGCCACAUUGGGACUGAGACACGGCCCAAACUCCUACGGGAGGCAGCAGUAGGGAAUCUUCCGCAAUGGACGAAAGUCUGACGGAGCAACGCCGCGUGAGUGAAGAAAGGUUUUCGGAUCGUAAAACUCUGUUGUCAGAGAAGAACAAGUUGGAGAGUAACUGCUCCAGCCUUGACGGUAUCUGACCAGAAAGCCACGGCUAACUACGUGCCAGCCGCCGC
rnacentral:rRNA from 1 species